UACGUAGGGGGCAAGCGUUGUCCGGAUUUAUUGGGCGUAAAGAGCGUGUAGGCGGCUUGGUAGGUCCGCUGUGAAAACUCGAGGCUCAACCUCGAGAUGUCGGCGGAAACCACUUGGCUAGAGUCCGGAAGAGGAGAGUGGAAUUCCUGGUGUAGCGGUGAAAUGCGCAGAUAUCAGGAAGAACACCUAUGGCGAAGGCAGCUCGCUGGAACGGUACUGACGCUGUGGCGCGAAAGCGUGGGGAGCAAACAGG
rnacentral:rRNA from 1 species